UACAGAGUCAAUGUGGAGGCUAUAUACAGGGAGGUACCGGUACAGAGUCAAUGUGGAGACUAUAUACAGGGGGUACCGGUACAGAGUCAAUGUGGAGACUAUAUACAGGGGGUACCAGUACAGAGUCAAUGUGGAGGCUAUAUACAGGGGGUACCAGUACAGAGUCAAUGUGGAGGCUAUAUACAGGGGGUACCAGUACAGAGUCAAUGUGGAGGCUAUAUACAGGAGGUACCAGUACAGAGUCAAUGUGGAGGCUAUAUACAGGGGGUACCAGUACAGAGUCAAUGUGGAGACUAUAUACAGGGAGGUACCGGUACAGAGUCAAUGUGGAGGCUAUAUACAGGGAGGUACCGGUACAGAGUCAAUGUGGAGGCUAUAUACAGGGAGGUACUGGUACAGAGUCAAUGUGGAGGUUAUAUACAGGGAGGUACCGGUACAGAGUCAAUGUGGAGGUUAUAUACAGGGAGGUACCGGUACAGAGUCAAUGUGGAGGCUAUAUACAGGG
ensembl:lncRNA